AUACAGAGGGUGCAAGCGUUAUUCGGAAUUACUGGGCGUAAAGCGCGCGUAGGCGGAUGAUUAAGUCAGUUGUGAAAGCCCUGGGCUCAACCUAGGAACUGCAUCUGAUACUGGUCGUCUAGAGUCUAAGAGAGGGAAGUGGAAUUCCAGGUGUAGCAGUGAAAUGCGUAGAUAUCUGGAGGAACAUCAGUGGCGAAGGCGACUUCCUGGCUUAAAACUGACGCUGAGGUGCGAAAGCGUGGGUAGCGAACGGGAUUAGAAACCCUUGUAGUCC
rnacentral:rRNA from 1 species